CUUGAAGUGCUUGUAUACAAUUUAACCAGCUGUCUCCGAAGGCAGGUCUAGGAGAGGAGAAGAAUGUGGUCUGCGGAAGAUUUCAAAGCAGCAGACAGUGAGUUUGAACCAUAGUGAGGUUGUCCACUUCCUGCUCUGAGAGAAUGUGUAGGUCAGAGUUUAGAGUCAAGACUCCUAGCAUGGAUUCUGACAUGACGCAAUGAGCCAGUGUAUUGUACAGACCCUCAUUCUCUGCUCAGCCAACACCCCUCCCUGUACAGUUUCAUCAUGCUGUAAAGCCAUCAACAAGGACAUUGUAGAUUUGCCUGUGUGACAGUGCAUUGACCACAGAAUACACAAUCGCUGAAACUAUGCAUGACUACUGAAUGUGCACAAUGAGAGUGACCUCAUCAGGAGGAAUCACAGGA
ensembl:lncRNA